rnacentral:rRNA from 1 species
AGACCCGAAACCCGGUGAUCUAGCCAUGGGCAGGUUGAAGGUUGGGUAACACUAACUGGAGGACCGAACCGACUAAUGUUGAAAAAUUAGCGGAUGACCUGUGGCUGGGGGUGAAAGGCCAAUCAAACCGGGAGAUAGCUGGUUCUCCCCGAAAGCUAUUUAGGUAGCGCCUCGUGAAUUCAUCUCCGGGGGUAGAGCACUGUUUCGGCUAGGGGGCCAUCCCGGCUUACCAACCCGAUGCAAACUGCGAAUACCGGAGAAUGUUAUCACGGGAGACACACGGCGGGUGCUAACGUCCGUCGUGAAGAGGGAAACAACCCAGACCGCCAGCUAAGGUCCCAAAGUCAUGGUUAAGUGGGAAACGAUGUGGGAAGGCCCAGACAGCCAGGAUGUUGGCUUAGAAGCAGCCAUCAUUUAAAGAAAGCGUAAUAGCUCACUGGUCGAGUCGGCCUGCGCGGAAGAUGUAACGGGGCUAAACCAUGCACCGAAGCUGCGGCAGCGAACGUAUCACUUAAAGCGAUUCAGCGGGUUACGAUUGACGGAGCGAAGCGACGUCAAAGCGUAUACAAAGUCGAGUCGGUUUAAGGAUACGUUCGUUGGGUAGGGGAGCGUUCUGUAAGCCCGUGAAGGUGGCCUGUGAGGGUUGCUGGAGGUAUCAGAAGUGCGAAUGCUGACAUAAG